GUAGGGAAGUCUUCCACAAUGGGCGAAAGCCUGAUGGAGCAACGCCGCGUGUGUGAUGAAGGGUUUCGGCUCGUAAAACACUGUUGUAAGAGAAGAAUGACAUUGAGAGUAACUGUUCAAUGUGUGACGGUAUCUUACCAGAAAGGAACGGCUAAAUACGUGC
rnacentral:rRNA from 1 species